rnacentral:rRNA from 1 species
AGCGAACGCUGGCGGCAUGCUUAACACAUGCAAGUCGCACGGGGGGCUUUCGGGCUCUUAGUGGCGGACGGGUGAGUAUCGCGUAGGGAUUUGUCGUUGGGUGGGGGAUAACCUUGGGAAACUGGGGCUAAGACCGCAUGACGCCUGUGGGCCAAAGCAGAGAUGCGCCUGACGAGGAGCCUGCGUCCGAUUAGGUAGUUGGUUGGGUUAUGGCUGACCAAGCCUGCGAUCGGUAGCUGGUCUGAGAGGAUGAUCAGCCACACUGGGACUGAGACAC